UACGUAGGGUGCAAGCGUUGCCCGGAUUUAUUGGGCGUAAAGGGCGCGUAGGCGGCUCGGCACGUCCGUUGUGAAAUCGCCCGGCUCAACUGGGCGGGGUCAGCGGAUACGGUCGAGCUUGAGCAAGCUAGGGGGCAAUGGAAUUCCCGGUGUAGUGGUGGAAUGCGUAGAGAUGUGGAGGAACACCUGUGGCGAAGGCGCCUUGCUGGCCGAUUUCUGACGCUGAGGCGCGAAAGCGUGGGGAGCAAACAGG
rnacentral:rRNA from 1 species